AUGUCAGAUGUUUUUUGGGGGGGUAGGUCUCCUGUGCCCCCCUGCCUUGUCCCUUCCCCAGCAGGACCCAGGUCCUGGCCAUGCCCCUGCACAAGGAUUGCUGACCUUUGGGGACAUCACUGCAUCCCCGGGGGGUUUCUUGGCCAUGUCCUUGGAGGGGACAGGUCUGCAGUGGGUGCUGGUGUAGCUGCACAUGCCCCCCAGCUGUCCUGGGUGGUGGGAGUGCAUCUCCCCCAGUGCCAGUCCCAACUGUCCACUGGUCCCAGUUGCUCCCCUGUACUGGGGGCAGGGGGGGGCUGGACUGAGCCUGUGGGUGAUGGCUGUGGUUGGCCGCUGCUAGAAAGAAAUAAACCUGUGUCCUUGUACCAAGUGCCUGGUGCCCUUUCCUCGGGGUGGGGGGGACAUGGGUGGAUGGGUCAGGGAUGGCUCUGCAGAGCCCCCACCACCUGCUUUUGGGGGCUGAGGGGGACCCUGGGGACAUUGGGACCCAAGGGUGACACAAGGCUGCCCCCCUUCCCCAGCGCAGCUGGCAGAGCCCUUCCCCACCAUCAACAUAACCUUUAUUUAGUAACUGCUUUGCCUUUUCUCCCCCCAAAUCGAGGACAAGACCCCAGGGUGCCUCGGUGGCAGUGGAGCUUCAGCGAGCCAGUCUUUCCAGGGGGGAACCUUCCUUCCCCGUUAUAUAUAUAUAGAUUAGUCGCACUAUAUAUAUAUAUGUAUGUAUAUGUAUCUCCUGGCCUCAGCACAGCGAGGGGGGGCAGCUGGGGCCACACGUUAAUAGCAGAGCUCUACGUUAGCAGCAGCGAUGGGCUCGAGCGGGGCCAGGGGGGCGCCCAGCCCAGGGGGACGCGGCACCGCAGCCGUGUCCGAUUAUCGGUGACGCCCCAGUGUGUGUGUGUGUCCCCGCAGCCCGGAGUGGAGGGGGGGUGUCGGUCAGUGCAGGGAGGAGGGCCCAGCUCUGGGGGUGGUGGUAGAGGACAGGGGGGCUCAGGGGCUUCUCCUGCCUCAGUUUCCCCUGUUGAGUGUGCGAUGACCCUGGACAUGGGGAUGCGCCCAUGGCCCCCAGUGGUUUGA
rnacentral:lncRNA from 1 species